rnacentral:rRNA from 1 species
GACGAACGCUGGCGGCGUGCCUAAUACAUGCAAGUUGAGCGCUGAAGGUUGGUACUUGUACCAACUGGAUGAGCAGCGAACGGGUGAGUAACGCGUGGGGAAUCUGCCUUUGAGCGGGGGACAACAUUUGGAAACGAAUGCUAAUACCGCAUAAAAACUUUAAACACAAGUUUUAAGUUUGAAAGAUGCAAUUGCAUCACCCAAAGAUGAUCCCGCGUUGUAUUAGCUAGUUGGUGAGGUAAAGGCUCACCAAGGCGAUGAUACAUAGCCGACCUGAGAGGGUGAUCGGCCACAUUGGGACUGAGACACGGCCCAAACUCCUACGGGAGGCAGCAGUAGGGAAUCUUCGGCAAUGGACGAAAGUCUGACCGAGCAACGCCGCGUGAGUGAAGAAGGUUUUCGGAUCGUAAAACUCUGUUGGUAGAGAAGAACGUUGGUGAGAGUGGAAAGCUCAUCAAGUGACGGUAACUACCCAGAAAGGGACGGCUAACUACGUG